rnacentral:rRNA from 1 species
UUGGCGGACGGGUGGAGUAACGACGUGGAAAACCUAGCCGUAUACUGGGGAGUAACACUUAGAAAUAAGGUGCUAAUACCGCAUAAGCGCACAGCUUCGCAUGAAGCGGUGUGAAAAACUCUGGUGGUAUACGAUGGUUCCGCGUCUGAUUAGCUAGUUGGUGGGGUAAUGGCCUACCAAGGCAACGAUCAGUAGCCGGCCUGAGAGGGUGAACGGCCACAUUGGGACUGAGACACGGCCCAAACUCCUACGGGAGGCAGCAG